AACGCGAAGAACCUUACCAGGUCUUGACAUCCUCUGACGGUCUAGAGAUAGAUCUUUCCUUCGGGGACAGCGGUGACAGGUGGUGCAUGGUUGUCGUCAGCUCGCGUCGUGAGAUGUUGGGUUAAGUCCCGCAACGAGCGCACCCUUGAUCUUAGUUGCCAGCAUUCAGUUGGGCACUCUAAGGUGACUGCCGGUGAUAAACCGGAGGAAGGUGGGGAUGACGUCAAAUCAUCAUGCCCCUUAUGACCUGGGCUACACACGUGCUACAAUGGACGGUACAGAGGGUCGCAACCCCGCGAGGUGAGCAAAUCCCAUAAAACCGUUCUCAGUUCGGAUUGUAGGCUGCAACUCGCCUACAUGAAGCCGGAAUCGCUAGUAAUCGUGGAUCAGCAUGCCACGGUGAAUACGUUCCCGGGCCUUGUACACACCG
rnacentral:rRNA from 1 species